GGAGGGGGACAACGUUCCGAAAGGAGCGCUAAUACCGCAUACAGCCGAGACUGGUUUGCCAGACUCGGGCAAAGGUAGGGACCGGCAACGGCCUACCGCCAAAGGAGGGGUCUGCGGCCCAUCAGCUAGUUGGGGAGGUAAUGGCUCACCAAGGCAGAGACGGGUAGCUGGUCUGAGAGGAUGAUCAGCCACACUGGUACUGGAACACGGACCAGACUCCUACGGGAGGCAGCAGUGGGGAAUCUUGGUCAAUGGGCGCAAGCCUGAACCAGCGAUGCCGCGUGAGUGAUGAAGGCCUUCGGGUUGUAAAGCUCUGUGGGGCGGGACGAAAGAGUCGGUUCUAACAGGACCGAUGUUGACGGUACCGCCUUAGCAAGCACCGGCUAACUCUGUGCCAGCAGCCGCGGUAAGACAGAGGGUGCAAACGUUGCUCGGAAUUACUGGGCGUAAAGGGCGUGUAGGCGGGAAGGUAAGUCGGGCGUGAAAUCCCCAAGCUCAACUUGGGAACUGCACUCGAAACUACCUUUCUUGAGUGCCGGAGAGGAAAGCGGAAUUCCUGGUGUAGAGGUGAAAUUCGUAGAUAUCAGGAGGAACACCAGUGGCGAAGACGGCUUUCUGGACGGUGACUGACGCUGAGACGCGAAAGCGUGGGGAGCAAACAGGAUUAGAUACCCUGGUAGUCCACGCUGUAAACGAUGAGUGCUAGGUGUCGUGGGUAUUGACCCCCGCGGUGCCGUAGCUAACGCAUUAAGCACUCCGCCUGGGAAGUACGGUCGCAAGACUAAAACUCAAAGGAAUUG
rnacentral:rRNA from 1 species